UUCCAAUAAAAAUGGAGGGCAGAAAAUUUGUUAGGAUUGUUGAAGUUAUAAUGGUGGUGAUAAUGGUGGUUUUGAGUGGAAUUUUGACUACAAACCCGAUGAUGUUGGCACUAGCAAGGCGGUUGAAUGAAGAGGUGGUGGCCGUAGGUGGUGUUGGUCCGGAUGACCAUUCGCCUAUUCCCCCGAUCAGGUCAUCUUGCAAAUCCCAUAUUCCGAGUCCCACAUGCCCUCCCUAUUCUUCAAAGCAUAGGUGAGUCCUCUAUCUAUAUAAAUAACUAUUAAUAUGAUAUAAUUUCGAUUUAAUUUUUAUAUAUCACUAACAUUAUAGUACGUACCAUUACAUAUAUAUAAUUUAUUUGUUUCUUGGUUGGGACGCAGGUAAAAUGGCAAAUUGGGGUAGCAGAAAAGAUCAAAAGAUAACUAAAGUAAACAAGGUUGAUGCAGAGUUGUGAUAGAAUCAGCUUGUUUCUUGAUUAUGUUUAAAGUUGAACAUGUAGUUAAAGGAUUAAUGUUUGUUUGUCUGAUAUUUUUGAAUCGUUGUAAUUGUAGUGAUUACGAUUUAGUUGAAAUAAAAACCCUUGAUUUAAGAAAAUAAAUGAAAGGAUUAUUGUGUA
rnacentral:lncRNA from 1 species